ensembl:lncRNA
AUGCACUCCUCUAGCCGAACCUUCGCUCCGCCCUCGAGGCCUCGUCGCUUCGACACGAGCAGGCGGACCACCACCGCAGCGGAACCAAAGCCACACGGCCCUGUUUCCCAGAGGGAAGACAAAAACAUGAACACCAUUUCCUCUUCCUCUCCUCGGCGCGCCACCAAAGUGACCCCCGAGUCUUCCAGGACCAGGGUGGGGGUCCAGCCUCAUGCCCCCUUGGGUCAGUCCAGAUUGGGCUUACAGAGAAACACAGCUCCCCUCUCUACGACCAAACCCAAACCCAAAAGUGUCCGUGCAGCAGCAGCUGUGUUGAAACGCGCCCCUCCUCCUCCUCCUCUUCCUCAUCUGGACCCCAACUGUAAUGAACCCAGCCUGCCUUGUCUGUGCUGCGACGGCCAUUCCCCCCAGGACAAUAACAGUCUGUUCAACCACAACCACAACAACAACAAUACCAUCUCCAUCAGACAGCAGCUGAAGCUUCAGCCCCCUCCACCACCUCCCCUGCUACCCCAGAGACAGGAGGGGACAGGGGGCAAGACCAAGACACAGGCCAGCCCCUCUCAGACCAGGCCCCAGCCUCAGGUCCUGGCCCCGGCCUGCCCCCCUAAUGCCCUGGAACUAGAGAAAGGAAUAAAAGAUGAGGAGAAUGCAGAUGUUAACAAGAACACAGAUGUGGUCAUAGACAACAAGAAAGAAACGGAGGAAGAGAUGGAUAACAAGAAAGAAACGGAGGAAGAGGAAAACAGUGUGGAUGUUGAAGUUGAUGAUGAUGAUGAUGAUGAUGAUGACACGUUGGUCCCAUCGUGCUGCGACUUCCCUCCCUCUCUCCUGGAUCUCUCCCUGACCUCCUCCACCUCCUCAUCCUCCACUUCCAUCAGCUCCUGCUCCGAUCUGGAGUCAGACUGCGCCGAUCUCUCCAUCUCUCUCUCGUCCUCUGGCCACAAGGGGAACGCUGAUCUGUUAAUCUCUCAGGACCACACUCUCAUUCACGUUCCUGAACGCUACCCAGCCUCCCGUUCACCCCCAGUCCUGCUCCUCAACCCCAAACCCCCCUCUGUCUCUCGUUGCCCUUCCUCCCCCCCACACGACUGCUCCCCAGACGAGGGCUACCCCUCCGCCCCCGCCUCCCCCUCCUCCUCUGACUACCUGGGGGUCAAAGGUCAGACAGGCUUAGGGUCAGACGUCGCCAAACUAGGCCUCCUGGACUUCCUGGAGUCAGUGGGAGACUUUGGAAAGAUGGAGCGCUUUAGCCAGGUGAUUCAGGUGGCUCGCUGGGACCUGGAGGGGGAUCUUCAGGGGGAUCUACUGAGGGAUCGACUGGAUCACCUGGACCGACUGGAGAGUGUCAACAGGCAGGUGAAGCUGGCCCACAUCGCCAGGCUCCAUGAGAAGGGACUGGAUCUAGGUGAUCUGGACAAGGAAGAUCUCUCUGAUGUUCUGGAUGAGAUGGGGAACGUGGAUAUGUCUUGGAAGCUCUAUAAGGGCCGGGGAGGGUCGUUGGGAGAUUCCCAGGAGUUCUCUGAUGCUGGAGUGGAUCUGACAGCACCUUCAGACUGUGACGAGCCCCUGGUCUCACAAUCAGAGACAUCUUCGCCCAUAGAGCCCCCACCGAGACCCCCCAAACCCCCUGCCCGCUAUGCCAGCGUGAACUCUGAACUCCACACCUACAUCAACAUCAGCCGUGACAUCACCCCCUCCGUCUCUGUCUGCACCUCUCCAUCCUCAUCCCCCACUUUCUACACCUUCAGGUGUGAGAAGGCCCUCCCUCCUUCCCCACGCUCCGUCCACCCUCCUCUUCUCUGUCAGCACAUCCCUUACUUUACUCUCUACAAAUCUUCCCCUCUCCCAUUCUCCCUCCCCUCCUCCACUCCCCCCAUCCCCCCCCCCUCGGAGGAAGCACCUAGCCCGUAA